rnacentral:rRNA from 1 species
AUUGAACGCUGGCGGCAUGCCUUACACAUGCAAGUCGAACGGCAGCACGGGAGCAAUCCUGGUGGCGAGUGGCGAACGGGUGAGUAAUAUAUCGGAACGUGCCCAGUCGUGGGGGAUAACGUAGCGAAAGCUACGCUAAUACCGCAUACGAUCUAUGGAUGAAAGCGGGGGAUCGCAAGACCUCGCGCGAUUGGAGAGGCCGAUAUCAGAUUAGGUAGUUGGUGAGGUAAAGGCUAACCAAGCCGACGAUCUGUAGCUGGUCUGAGAGGACGACCAGCCACACUGGGACUGUGACACGGCCCAGAAUCCGACGGGAGGCAGCAGUGGGGAAUUUUAGACAAUGGGCGCAAGCCUGAUCCAGCAAUGCCGCGUGCAGGAUGAAGGCCUUCGGGUUGUAAACUGCUUUUGUACGGAACGAAACGGCGAGCUCUAAUACAGUUUGCUAAUGACGGUACCGUAAGAAUAAGCACCGGCUAACUACGUGCCAGCCGCCGCGGUAA